CUACCAGACUCCUACGGGAGGCAGCAGUGGGGGAUAUUGCACAAUGGGGGGAACCCUGAUGCAGCGACGCCGCGUGGGUGAAGAAGCGCCUCGGCGCGUAAAGCCCUGUCAGCAGGGAAGAAAAUGACGGUACCUGAAGAAGAAGCCACGGCUAACUACGUGCCAGCAGCCGCGGUAAUACGUAGGUGGCGAGCGUUAUCCGGAAUUACUGGGUGUAAAGGGUGUGUAGGCGGGAGUGCAAGUCAGACGUGAAAACUAUGGGCUCAACCCAUAACGUGCGUUUGAAACUGUGCUUCUUGAGAGUGGGAGAGGUAAACGGAAUUCCUGGUGUAGUAGUGAAAUGCGUAGAUAUCAGGAGGAACACCGGUGGCGAAGGCGGUUUACUGGACCACAACUGACGCUGAGACACGAAAGCGUGGGGAGCAAACAGGAUUAGAUACCCCAGUAU
rnacentral:rRNA from 1 species